rnacentral:rRNA from 1 species
GGAAUUUUCCGCAAUGGGCGAAAGCCUGACGGAGCAACGCCGCGUGAGGGAUGAAGGCCUCUGGGCUGUAAACCUCUUUUAUCAAGGAAGAAGAUCUGACGGUACUUGAUGAAUAAGCCACGGCUAAUUCCGUGCCAGCAGCCGCGGUAAUACGGGAGUGGCAAGCGUUAUCCGGAAUUAUUGGGCGUAAAGCGUCCGCAGGCGGUCUUUUAAGUCUGUCGUCAAAGCGUGGAGCUUAACUCCAUUUCUGCGAUGGAAACUGGGAGACUAGAGUGUGGUAGGGGCAGAGGGAAUUCCCGGUGUAGCGGUGAGAUGCGUAGAUAUCGGGAAGAACACCAGUGGCGAAGGCGCUCUGCUGGGCCAUAACUGACGCUCAUGGACGAAAGCCAGGGGAGCGAAGGGGAUUAGAUACCCCUGUAGUCCUGGCCGUAAACGAUGAACACUAGGUGUCGGGGGAAUCGACCCCCUCGGUGUCGUAGCCAACGCGUUAAGUGUUCCGCCCGGGGAGUACGCACGCAAGUGUGAAACUCAAAGGAAUUGACGGA